rnacentral:rRNA from 1 species
GAAACGACUGCUAAGACUGGAUAGGAAAAGUAAAGGCAUCUUUACUUUUUUAAAAGACCUUCUUUGAAGGUAUGCUUAAGGAGGGGCUUGCGACACAUUAGUUAGUUGGCAGGGUAAAGGCCUACCAAGACUAUGAUGUGUAGCUGGACUGAGAGGUUGAACAGCCACAUUGGGACUGAGACACGGCCCAAACUCCUACGGGAGGCAGCAGUAGGGAAUUUUCGGCAAUGGAGGAAACUCUGACCGAGCAACGCCGCGUGAACGAUGAAGUACCUCGGUAUGUAAAGUUCUUUUAUUAAGGAAGAAAAAAGAGUGGAAAAACUCCCUUGACGGUACUUAAUGAAUAAGCCCCGGCUAAUUAUGUGCCAGCAGCCGCGGUAAUACAUAAGGGGCGAGCGUUAUCCGGAAUUAUCGGGCGUAAAGGGUGCGUAGGCGGUUUAAUAAGUCUAUAGUUUAAUUUCAGCGCUUAACGCUGUUGUGCUAUAGAAACUGUUUUACUAGAGUGAGUUAGAGGCAAGCGGAAUUCCAUGUGUAGCGGUAAAAUGCGUAAAUAUAUGGAGGAACACCAGAGGCGUAGGCGGCUUGCUGGGACUUUACUGACGCUGAGGCACGAAAGCGUGGGGAGCAAACAGGAUUAGAUACCCUGGUAGUCCACGCCGUAAACGAUGAGUACUAAGUGUCGGGUAAAACCGGUACUGAAGUUAACACAUUAAGUACUCCGCCUGAGUAGUACGUACGCAAGUAUGAAACUUAAAGGAAUUGACGGGACUCCGCACAAGCGGUGGAUCAUGUUGUUUAAUUCGAAGAUACACGAAAAACCUUACCAGGUCUUGACAUUUUCUUGCGAAGUUAUAGAAAUAUAAUGGAGGUUAUCAGGAAAACAGGUGGUGCAUGGUUGUCGUCAGCUCGUGUCGUGAGAUGUUAGGUUAAGUCCUAAAACGAGCGCAACCCUUGUCGUUAAUUGCCAGCAUAUAAUGAUGGGGACUUUAACGAGACUGCCAAUGAAAAAUUGGAGGAAGGUGGGGAUUACGUCAAAUCAUCAUGCCCCUUAUGAUCUGGGCUACAAACGUGAUACAAUGGUUGAUACAAAGAGUAGCUGAAACGCGAGUUCUUAGCCAAUCUCACAAAAUCAAUCUCAGUUCGGAUUGAAGUCUGCAACUCGACUUCAUGAAGUUGGAAUCGCUAGUAAUCGCGAAUCAGCAUGUCGCGGUGAAUACGUUCGCGGGGUUUGUACACACCGCCCGUCA